rnacentral:rRNA from 1 species
UACGGAGGGGGCAAGCGUUGUUCGGAAUUACUGGGCGUAAAGGGCGCGCAGGCGGCUGCUCAAGUCAGGCGUGAAAGGCCUGGGCUCAACCCAGGAACUGCGUCCGAUACUGGCAGGCUUGAAUUCGGGAGAGGGAUGCGGAAUUCCAGGUGUAGCGGUGAAAUGCGUAGAUAUCUGGAGGAACACCGGUGGCGAAGGCGGCAUCCUGGACCGAGAUUGACGCUGAGGCGCGAAAGCCAGGGGAGCAAACGGG